UGGUGAGAUGAUUCGUAGCAAGCAACAAGUAACAAAAGUAGAAAUGGUGGAACAAAGUGUCCCAAUCCCUUUUGUAGCAAGGGACAAGCCUGGACAAAGUCUUAUAGGAGGAAAAACGCUCCCGAGGACACACGGGAAUGUAUGUCAUGCUAGUUUCAUCAUGUUCAUAUGAUUCACAUUCGUUACUUUGAUAGUUUGAUAUGUGGGUGGACUGGCGGUUGGGUACUGCCCUUACUUGGACAAGCAUCCCACUUAUGAUUAACCCCUCUCGCAAGCAUCCGCAACUACGAAAGAAGAAUUAAGACAAAGUCUAACCAUAACAUUAAACUAGUGGAUCCAAAUCAGCCCCUUACGAAGCAACACAUAAACUAGGGUUUAAGCUUCUGUCACUCUAGCAACCCAUCAUCUACUUACUACUUCCCAAUGCCUUCCUC
rnacentral:lncRNA from 1 species